AGCGAACGUUAGCGGCGCGCUUAACACAUGCAAGUCGCACGAGAAAGGGCUUCGGCCCCGGUAAAGUGGCGCACGGGUGCGUAACACGUAGGCAAUCUUCCCUUGAGCGGGGGAUAACGUUUCGAAAGAGACGCUAAUACCGCAUAAGACCACGACCGGUUCGCCGGUUGCGGUCAAAGCUGGCCUCUCCACGGAAGCUAGCACUUAAGGACGAGCCUGCGGCCCAUCAUGCUAGUUGGUAGGGUAACGGCCUACCAAGGCGAAGACGGGUAGCUGGUCUGAGAGGAUGAUCAGCCACACUGGAACUGAAACACGGUCCAGACUCCUACGGGAGGCAGCAGUGAGGAAUAUUGGACAAUGGGCGCAAACCUGAUCCAGCGACGCCGCGCGAGUGAUGAAGGCCUUCGGGUUGUAAAGCUCUGUUGAGGGAGAAGAAAACAGUUAGGGCGAAUAGGCCUAGCUCUUGACGGUAUCCCUUUAGAAAGCACCGGCUAACUCUGUGCCAGCCGCCGCAGUAA
rnacentral:rRNA from 1 species